rnacentral:rRNA from 1 species
AACGAACGCUGGCGGCAUGCCUAACACAUGCAAGUCGAACGAGACCUUCGGGUCUAUUUUCUCACGGGUGCGUAACGCGUUGGAACCUGCCCUUAGGUUCGGAAUAACUCCCCGAAAGGGGUGCUAAUACCGGCUAAUGUCUUCGGACCAAAGAUUUAUCGCCUUUGGAUGGGCCCGCGUUGGCUUAGCUUGUUGGUAGGGUAAAAGCCUACCCAGGCGACGAUCCAUAGCUGGUCUGAGAGGAUGAUCAGCCACACUGGGACUGAGACACGGCCCAGACUCCUACGGGAGGCAGCAGUGGGGAAUAUUGGACAAUGGGCGAAAGCCUGAUCCAGCAAUGCCGCGUGAGUGAUGAAGGCCUUAGGGUUGUAAAGCUCUUUUACCCGGGAUGAUAAUGACAGUACCGGGAGAAUAAGCUCCGGCUAACUCCGUG